rnacentral:rRNA from 1 species
GACGAACGCUGGCGGCGUGCUUAACACAUGCAAGUCGAACGGUGAAGCGCCUUCCUUUUUGGUGGGUGUGGAUGAGUGGCGAACGGGUGAGUAACACGUGAGUAACCUGCUCCCUUCUUCUGGAUAACCGCAUGAAAGUGUGGCUAAUACGGGAUAUUCCGGGUCUGUCGCAUGAUGGGUCUGGGAAAGAUAUUGUUUCGGUGGGGGAUGGGCUCGCGGCCUAUCAGCUUGUUGGUGGGGUGAUGGCCUACCAAGGCGGCGACGGGUGGCCGGCCUGGGAGGGUCAGCCGCACCGCUGCGGCUGCACGACGGCGCAGCCUCCUGCGGGAAGCAGCAGUGAGGAUUGUUGCAUGAUCGGAGGAAUGCUGAUGCCGCGACGCGGCGUGGGAGAAGGCCGCCUUCGUGUUGUGAACCUCUUUCGCCAGUGAAGCAGGCCUGCCUAGUUCGUGGGUGGGUUGACGGUAGCUGGAUAAGAAGCGCCGGCUAACUACGUG